rnacentral:rRNA from 1 species
GAUGAACGCUGGCGGCGUGCUUAACACAUGCAAGUCGAACGGUGAAGGCGGAGCUUGCUCUGCUGGAUCAGUGGCGAACGGGUGAGUAACACGUGAGCAAUCUGCCCCUGACUCUGGGAUAAGCGCUGGAAACGGCGUCUAAUACUGGAUACGAGCUGCGAAGGCAUCUUCAGCAGCUGGAAAGAAUUUCGGUCAGGGAUGAGCUCGCGGCCUAUCAGCUUGUUGGUGAGGUAAUGGCUCACCAAGGCGUCGACGGGUAGCCGGCCUGAGAGGGUGACCGGCCAAAAGGGGACGGAGACACGGCCCAGACCCCUACGGGAGGCAGCAGGGGGGAAUAUUGCACAAGGGGCGAAAGCCUGAGGAAGCAACCCCGCGGGGGGGACGACGGCCUUGGGGUUGUAAACCUCUUUUGGCGGGGAAGAAGGGAAAGGGGCGGUACCUGCAGAAAAAGCCCCGGCAAACUACGU